rnacentral:rRNA from 1 species
UGUAGCCAAAAUACCCUGAACACGCCCAUCUCGUCUGAUCCUGGAAGCUAAGCAGGCUUGGGCCUGCUGGAAUUCCAACUGGGAAUACCAGGCACUGUAAGCUGUGGCUGUAG